rnacentral:lncRNA from 1 species
GGUGAGCCCCGGUGGGAGGACCCAGCCUGACCCCAGCAAGCUCUGCGCUUCUUCCUCCCUAACAUCUCUUGCCGAUCCUCACAACAAAAGUCCUUUUAAUCACCUGGGCAACGGUUCAUGGAACACUGAAUGUAAAAAGCCAAGACUUGAACCAAGGCCAUCUUCCUCCAGGUACCUCUAAAUAUAUGAUUUCCAGUGGACAAGGAUGUGGUUUUCAGCAGUUGUCUAUAUUCAGACAAAGAGUCAAAUUUGGGCAAUUCAGGAGUUCAAUCCAGGAGAAUAAUUUAGUCUUCUAAACACGCAGAACAAAACAGAGGCUACAUGUAUUUUCAUCAAGUGGCUUAACCAGCAAGAGGCAUGCAAUCCAUCAAGAAUUAUUGCGAUCCACUGAUAGAUUGUUAUUAACAGAAAAGAGAAAAGCAUGUGUCCUCUAUUCAGAAUAAUGAUGAAACUCAACCUUUAAGGUAGGACUAUUAUACA